rnacentral:rRNA from 1 species
GACGGACCACACGAACGUUAUUCGGAAUUACUGGGCUUAAAGGGUGCGUAGGCUGUGCAGAAAGUUGGGUGUGAAAUCCCUCGGCUUAACCGAGGAAUUGCGCCCAAAACUACUGUGCUUGAGGAAGAUAGAGGUAAGCGGAACUUAGGGUGGAGCGGUGAAAUGCGCAGAUAUCAGGAGGAACACCAAUGGCGAAGGCAGCUCACUGGGACGGUAUUGACGCUGAGGUGCGAAAGCGUGGGGAGCAAACAGG